GAAAAAGUGAAAAAAACUUGAACUAAAGUGUUUGCAAGGUUGCCAAGACAUUAGCGAAAUCCUGAAACUAAUCUAAAUCGAUAUAUUGCUCUGGCUCAGGAUUAUUUGUGCAGCAAAAAAUGGCCAUUCUGUUUUACGUGUUCAAUCUGACAAUGUUGACAGUGCAACGACAUUUUCCCUUGUUAGCAGCAACUGUUUGUGUCGCUAAUAAAAUUUUUCUAAUUUUUCAUAGAAAAAGUGAAUUUUCUGUGCACUAUUUGAGUUUAUUCUGUUCCUUAAGGCCUGCUUAAUCUCCUGAAAAUGAGUGUUACUAAUAAUAUAUAUGCACCCUUCCUGCAAAGACCACCUAAAUGAAGAAACCUGGCUCACCGGCCCUUAUAUAAUUCUGAUGUCUUGCUAUGAUUCCAGUUUACGAGAUUGGUUUUACAUUAUAUCCAGUUAAAGCUUUUGUACAAUUAAUCGAUGUAUGUACAGUUCCAGAGCAGUACAUUUAUACUUUUGAUGAGUAAUAUCAAAAAUACAUCAGGACACCUGGACUUCAAUUCAACCAUCCUAUUCCAGAUGCCCUUAGGUUGAUUAAAAUCAACAUUCAACAGUGGAAUGAGUAUUCAACAGUGGAAAUUCGCUAUCAAAGAGGAACUAAAUAAUUUGUAUAUUUAGAUUUUCCACAACAAGUCGAUGGAUGCAUGCAGUUCCAGGGCAGUACAUUUAUCCUUUUGAUGAUGUUCCUUCUAUUCACCAACGAAUUUCAUCAUUUUUAAAUUUAAUUAAGUAAGAAAAAAGAUUCAAAUGAGUCUCUGAGUUAUAUUUUAAUAGUUUCUUAUGAUCAUUGACAAUUUCAUUUGGGUUUUGGUCACUUCUCUUACUUUUUGGUAGAAUACCAUCUAAUUGAAUACCAUCUCAUCGUAAUUUUGGAAUCAUUUUCAAUCACUUUUUUCAAAUAAUCAGAUCAUACAGAGUAAAACUUAAUUAUUCUUAAAUCUAAUUUGUUAUUUGUCUUUUGUGGUUGUACUUAUAAUUCUCUUUUAUUUAUAUUAUUGUUUAUAUUACUGCUAUUCCCUCUAAGGCUUCAAAGUCUUUAGUUUCAUUUAUAUUGAUGCCUUCAUAGAAUUGUACAGUUUUGGAAUCAUUUCUAAUUGAUUUUCUCUUCAUUUUGUUUCUAAAUCCAUUAAAAAUUGAGAUUUUUUAUGCGAUAUUGUACUGCAACAAGUAUUUUUUGGAACAGCUGCACUCCAAACACCUUCUUCAAGAUGCCAUCAGGCUGAUUAAAUUCAGGAUUUAACAGUGGAAUGAGGAUGAAAUUCAUCAUUGAAGAGGAAACUAGUUAAUUUUAGAACCAAGACUUUCCACAAGGGUAGCCGGAAGAUUUAUUUAUUACCUCAACAUAGACAUCAGCAUCUCCAUCAAGACCUUGGAUUAAAAUCCAAGGUUUUGCUAUGUGUAUUAAGAUAUAUAUUUUAUAUUAAUAUUGUUAAUACAA